ACUACGGGAGGCAGCAGUGGGGAAUAUUGGACAAUGGGGGGAACCCUGAUCCAGCGACGCCGCGUGAGUGAAGAAGUAUUUCGGUAUGUAAGGCUCUAUCAGCAGGGAAGAAAGAAAUGACGGUACCUGACUAAGAAGCCCCGGCUAACUACGUGCCAGCAGCCGCGGUAAUACGUAGGGGGCAAGCGUUAUCCGGAGUUACUGGGUGUAAAGGGAGCGUAAACGGUUACGCAAGUCUGGAGUGAAAGGCGGGGGCCCAACCCCCGGACUGCUUUGGAAACUGUAUAACUGGAGUGCAGGAGAGGUAAGUGGAAGUCCUAGGGUAGCGGUGAAAGGCGUAGAUAUUAGGAGGAACACCAGUGGCGAAGGCGGCUUACUGGACUGUAACUGACGUUGAGGCUCGAAAGCGUGGGGAGCAAACAGGAUUAGAUACCCCUGUAGUC
rnacentral:rRNA from 1 species